GGGGGAUAUUGCACAAUGGGGGAAACCCUGAUGCAGCGACGCCGCGUGGAGGAAGAAGGUUUUCGGAUUGUAAACUCCUGUCGUUAGGGACGAUAAUGACGGUACCUAACAAGAAAGCACCGGCUAACUACGUGCCAGCAGCCGCGGUAAAACGUAGGGUGCAAGCGUUGUCCGGAAUUACUGGGUGUAAAGGGAGCGCAGGCGGACCGGCAAGUUGGAAGUGAAAACUAUGGGCUCAACCCAUAAAUUGCUUUCAAAACUGCUGGCCUUGAGUAGUGCAGAGGUAGGUGGAAUUCCCGGUGUAGCGGUGGAAUGCGUAGAUAUCGGGAGGAACACCAGUGGCGAAGGCGACCUACUGGGCACCAACUGACGCUGAGGCUCGAAAGCAUGGGUAGCAAACAGGAUUAGAUACCCUGGUAGUCCAUGCCGUAAACGAUGAUUACUAGGUGUUGGAGGAUUGACCCCUUCAGUGCCGCAGUUAACACAAUAAGUAAUCCACCUGGGGAGUACGACCGCAAGGUUGAAACUCAAAGGAAUUGACGGGGGCCCGCACAAGCAGUGGAGUAUGUGGUUUAAUUCGAAGCAACGCGAAGAACCUUACCAGGUCUUGACAUCCGAUGCAUAGCUUAGAGAUAAGUGAAGUCCUUCGGGACAUCGAGACAGGUGGUGCAUGGUUGUCGUCAGCUCGUGUCGUGAGAUGUUGGGUUAAGUCCCGCAACGAGCGCAACCCUUAUUGCCAGUUACUACGAAAGAGGACUCUGGCGAGACUGCCGUUGACAAAACGGAGGAAGGUGGGGAUGACGUCAAAUCAUCAUGCCCUUUAUGACCUGGGCUACACACGUACUACAAUGGCGUUUAACAAAGAGAAGCAAGACCGCGAGGUGGAGCAAAACUCAAAAACAACGUCUCAGUUCAGAUUGCAGGCUGCAACUCGCCUGCAUGAAGUCGGAAUUGCUAGUAAUCGCGGAUCAGCAUGCCGCGGUGAAUACGUUCCCG
rnacentral:rRNA from 2 species